rnacentral:rRNA from 1 species
AGUGAACGCUGGCGGUAGGCCUAACACAUGCAAGUCGAACGGCAGCACAGUAAGAGCUUGCUCUUACGGGUGGCGAGUGGCGGACGGGUGAGGAAUACAUCGGAAUCUACUUUUUCGUGGGGGAUAACGUAGGGAAACUUACGCUAAUACCGCAUACGACCUACGGGUGAAAGCAGGAGAUCUUCGGACCUUGCGCGAUUGAAUGAGCCGAUGUCGGAUUAGCUAGUUGGCGGGGUAAAGGCCCACCAAGGCGACGAUCCGUAGCUGAUCUGAGAGGAUGAUCGGCCACACUGGAACUGAGACACGGUCCAGACUCCUACGGGAGGCAGCAGUAGGGAAUCUUGCACAAUGGGCGCAAGCCUGAUCCAGCCAUACCGCGUGAGUGAAGAAGGCCUUCGGGUUGUAAAGCCCUUUUGUUGGGAAAGAAAAGCAGCAGAUUAAUACCCCGCUGUUCUGACGGUACCCAAAGAAUAAGCACCGGCUAACUUCGUG